GAAUUACUGAUUAUGGUGAAGACAUCUGAUCCAAGUUUUAGUUAAGAAGCUAUGGAUUCAUCAUCAGAACUACAUGGAACCUGGAAUUGUUUAAAGCACGGUUCCUGUGAAUUAAUAUUAUAUAAAAUGUAAGAUGGGAAAAGCUUUACUUGAUCCGAUAAUCUGUGUUUGUUUUUCGAUGUAUAUAAUUAUUCUAUGUUGAAUAAUAAAUACUAUUUAGAUAAUAGAUAUUCACAUGAACACUUAACUGGCGGCAUUGAAAUUGGUAGUCCCCCCGUCAACAAGGUUUCAGGCAAGAUGUUUUGUACGGAGUAAUUAGAAAGAGUACAAGGGCAGGUGGUUGUGUCUGCUCCCUACUGCAUCAAUGGACUUCUUUCUUGCAAGUUGUACAGAACAAGACCGUUCAUUCUCUCUCGAGGCUGCGUGUCAAAAUGAUGAGCCACACGUACGUGGAACAACCUUAAACUUCAC
rnacentral:lncRNA from 1 species